CCCUUAGAUGUUCUGGGCUGCACGCGCGCUACACUGAUGCGUUCAACGAGUUUAUGACCUUGCCCGAUAGGGUUGGGUAAUCUUUUUAAAUCGCAUCGUGAUGGGGAUAGAUUAUUGCAAUUAUUAAUCUUCAACGAGGAAUUCCUAGUAAGCGCGAGUCAUCAGCUCGUGCUGAUUACGUCCCUGCCCUUUGUACACACCGCCCGUCACUCCUACCGAUUGAGUGAUCCGGUGAAUAAUUCGGACUGCAGCAGUGUUCAGUUCCUGAACGUUGCAGCGGAAAGUUUAGUGAACCUUAUCACUUAGAGGAAGGAGAAGUCGUANCA
rnacentral:rRNA from 1 species